GCCUCCGUAGCUUAGAUAGGUAGAGCGUGCGGCUGUUACUUCAGCCUGUGUUGAAAGUCUACUCAGCGCAGCUGCAGGAGAAACCGCAAGGUCGCCAGUUCGAGUCUGGCCGGAGGCG
rnacentral:tRNA from 1 species